rnacentral:rRNA from 1 species
ACGGGUGAGUAAUAUAUCGGAACGUGCCCAGUUGUGGGGGAUAGCCCGGCGAAAGCCGGAUUAAUACCGCAUACGACCUGAGGGUGAAAGCGGGGGAUCGCAAGACCUCGCGCAAUUGGAGCGGCCGAUAUCAGAUUAGCUAGUUGGUGGGGUAAAGGCCUACCAAGGCGACGAUCUGUAGCUGGUCUGAGAGGACGACCAGCCACACUGGGACUGAGACACGGCCCAGACUCCUACGGGAGGCAGCAGUGGGGAAUUUUGGACAAUGGGCGCAAGCCUGAUCCAGCCAUGCCGCGUGCGGGAAGAAGGCCUUCGGGUUGUAAACCGCUUUUGUCAGGGAAGAAACGGUCUGGCCUAAUACGUUGGACUAAUGACGGUACCUGAAGAAUAAGCACCGGCUAACUACGUGCCAGCAGCCGCGGUAAUACGUAGGGUGCAAGCGUUAAUCGGAAUUACUGGGCGUAAAGCGUGCGCAGGCGGCUAUGCAAGACAGAUGUGAAAUCCCCGGGCUCAACCUGGGAACUGCAUUUGUGACUGCAUGGCUAGAGUACGGUAGAGGGGGAUGGAAUUCCGCGUGUAGCA